UACGUAGGGUGCAAGCGUUAAUCGGAAUUACUGGGCGUAAAGCGUGCGCAGGCGGCUUUGCAAGACAGAUGUGAAAUCCCCGGGCUUAACCUGGGAACUGCAUUUGUGACUGCAUGGCUGGAGUGCGGCAGAGGGGGAUGGAAUUCCGCGUGUAGCAGUGAAAUGCGUAGAUAUGCGGAGGAACACCGAUGGCGAAGGCGGCAUCCUGGACCAUAACUGACGCUGAGGCGCGAAAGCUAGGGGAGCAAACGGG
rnacentral:rRNA from 1 species